GGAAGUACAGCUCAGUGGUAGAGUGCAUGCCUAGCAUGCAUGAGGUUCUGGGUUCAAUCCCCAGUACCUUCA
rnacentral:tRNA from 1 species